rnacentral:rRNA from 1 species
UACAGAGGUGGCAAGCGUUGUUCGGAAUUACUGGGCGUAAAGGGCGCGUAGGCGGCCUUCUAAGUCAGACGUGAAAUCCCCGGGCUCAACCCGGGAACUGCGUCCGAUACUGGUGGGCUUGAAUCCGGGAGAGGGAUGUGGAAUUCCAGGUGUAGCGGUGAAAUGCGUAGAUAUCUGGAGGAACACCGGUGGCGAAGGCGGCAUCCUGGACCGGUAUUGACGCUGAGGCGCGAAAGCCAGGGGAGCAAACGGG